CCAUGCCGCCCAACUAUCUGGGCAAAAGGCAAGAGAUUGGCAUAAGGGGGUGGUAAAUGGGGUAAAUGUGGAGCUGCCUUGGCACUGCAGUGAGUGCCAGACUGGAUCCUAGAUUCAGGACUGUGGAGUGUGCCUUAAGCCAACAGCUACCUGACCUCAGAGGCAAGAGGACUACCUGUUGAGACAGAGGUGGACUUACACUGAGAAAUAACUGAAUCUCACGAUUGAAUGAAUAGGAAAAGAAUCCACAAGAUUACAACCCUGUCGCCUCAUUAAAACCAUCCAACCCCUCAACCUUUUAUGCGCUUUUUUUGGCUCAAUAAGGGCAGAAGAACAAAAGGAAUGCUUUCCAUCACAUAAAAUCCCAUCUGGUAAAGUCAUUUUCCUGAGCAGGGCUGUUUAUUUUCUCUCUAACUGAAGCCUCCUGCCUGCGGAAAAAAUGCACGGACUCUGUAAACUCGGAUGCGUAUAAAAAUUUUAUAUCUUUGAAGGAGGGGUUGUUACUUUCACUAUUAAAGAUGGAAAGGAGAACAAA